rnacentral:rRNA from 1 species
UACGUAGGGUGCGAGCGUUGUCCGGAAUUACUGGGCGUAAAGAGCUCGUAGGUGGUUUGUCGCGUUGUUCGUGAAAUUCCCUGGCUUAACUGGGGGCGUGCGGGCGAUACGGGCAGACUGGAGUACUGCAGGGGAGACUGGAAUUCCUGGUGUAGCGGUGAAAUGCGUAGAUAUCAGGAGGAACACCGAUGGCGAAGGCAGGUCUCUGGGCCAUAACUGACGCUGAGAAGCGAAAGCAUGGGGAGCGAACAGG